UAUUUCAAGGGUGGAGAUAGAAAUAAGGACACGAUACACGUUUUUGUUUUGCUGUGUUAUUUCAAAUGCAGUUUGCAAGCAGUGUGGAUGUUGGUGUGGUUUUUAUCCCAGUUUUUCAAGAGCUGUCUUCAGUUUUCUACCACUGAUUCUGAAAUGUCAAACUUUAUAGCCGAAUUUUUUACACUACGUCGGAGGGGAAAUUUCAACUACUUUUUCAUAUAAUUUUAGCCAAUCAGAAUCCCUUGGCUACGUAGCUACUAGCUUUGUGAAUGCGACCACUGUAAAAUGAAACUUCAAAACAAAUUAUUGUCCAAUAAUCAAAAACAUGUAAAAUAAACUAAGAAAAUAAAAAAAAAACGCUAUUUUGCGGAUAAGAAACUUUUCAAUACGGAUUAUUUUAGACUAGAAGAUGCAACUUGUGUCAUUGAUCUUGGCGCAAAAAUGUUUACUAGUGCCGAUCAACUGCACUCUUAUUCAUGACCUCUCCGAUGCAGCCCCAUGAAUUCUAAACAACGAGAAUAGUCACGGUUAAAUAUGGAAGACAUUUAGCUAAUACAGCCAACCAUAGGCUAAAUAACACCUUUUUUAUAGAGGAAAAGUGAAGCUUUGCCACCAUUUCUAUCGAGGCAAAAAAUGUAAACAAUAAACUAAAUGCUAGUGUUUUCUUCAAAUAAUUCUGUAUACGAGUAUUUUGGAAUCUAAAAGAGAUAAUAAAAUAAGGUUUGUAUCAAAUAAAAGUAAGUUUGACCAUCUGUUUUACAUUAGCAAAAUUAUUUUCAUUAUUUUUAUAACUUGAUUGAUAUAUAAUUGAAUUAUAUAAUCAUUAAUAAAGCCUGUCAUACAAGAGGUCUUGGGUUCAAACCCUGCCAGUGUAAUCAUAAGUUUUUUUUCAGGGAUAUUGCCUCAUGCGAGGAGUACUUAGUUCUUGUCAUGAUAAGUGCUUUCUCAAAUUAUCCGUUCGGAAUUGCCUUGAAACUGUAGGUCCCCUCCAUCACUGACAACAUACUCGCACACAGGAACGAUUAAGAGUUGUAAUUCAACGUUGUCAACGGACUCUUGUGCCACCAAUUUAUUUUAUAAUCAAUAAUAAAGAAUUGAACAGGGCUUUGAGCUAUAGUACAAUUAUGUUAGUACUUAUAGAGUAUUUUCUAAUAUGUGUUUAUAUUUAAAUUCUUGAUAAAUUUUUUUCUUAGUCUUGCUUUUUCUACACUGAUAUGUCUUAAAGUUAUAUGAUUUUUUUUAAUUUUUUGGUAUCCAAGGAAAGCGUAAAUUGUUGGCCUUAAGUGCUUCUAAAACUUGUUGUCAUUUCUCAAAACAAUAUGGCACACAUACUUACCUCUUGUAUAUUCCAAGAUUGGAUAGGAAUGUAAAAGAAAAACAGAUACAAUUUAAAAAAAAAAUCUAUAAAAAAGAAAACAAAUAAAUACCAAACUAUUCAUAGUAAUGUAUUAAGUUUGUUUCUUUUUAUAAGACACUGUAACAUUUUUGAGAUCUGGAACACUUGAAACUGUUUUCAAAAAACAAAAACAAUAAAUUAAAUAGAUACAUAUCAAUAUUUUAACAAUAAGUGAUACAUUUAAUUUUAUCUACUUGAUAGUGUUUGAGUCUUAAGAUUCGUAGUCUUACUUAAUUUCUUAUUUGAGGUUUUCAGAAGUACGUAGUUAAAUAUAGUAAAUUUGCAAGAUGUAAGCGUA